rnacentral:rRNA from 1 species
UUAAGGCUAGGGGGUCAUCCCGACUUACCAACCCUUUGCAAACUCCGAAUACCAGUAAGUACUAUCCGGGAGACACACGGCGGGUGCUAACGUCCGUCGUGGAGAGGGAAACAACCCAGACCGCCAGCUAAGGUCCCAAAGUAUAGCUAAGUGGGAAACGAUGUGGGAAGGCUCAGACAGCCAGGAUGUUGGCUUAGAAGCAGCCAUCAUUUAAAGAAAGCGUAAUAGCUCACUGGUCGAGUCGGCCUGCGCGGAAGAUGUAACGGGGCUAAGCUAUACACCGAAGCUGCGGCUACGUACCUUAGGGUAUGUGGGGUAGGGGAGCGUUCUGUAAGCCGUUGAAGGUGGUCUGUAAGGGCUGCUGGAGGUAUCAGAAGUGCGAAUGCUGACAUGAGUAACGAUAAAGGGAGUGAAAAACUCCCUCGCCGGAAGACCAAGGGUUCCUGUCCAACGUUAAUCGGGGCAGGGUGAGUCGACCCCUAAGGCGAGGCCGAAAGGCGUAGUCGAUGGGAAACGGGUUAAUAUUCCCGUACUUCUUACAAUUGCGAUGGGGGGACGGAGAAGGCUAGGUGGGCCUGGCGACGGUUGUCCAGGUUCAAGUAUGUAGGCGGAAAGUUUAGGUAAAUCCGGACUUUCAUUAACGCUGAGAUACGAUGUCGAGCUACUACGGUAGUGAAGUCAUUGAUGCCAUGCUUCCAGGAAAAGCCUCUAAGCUUCAGAUUGUAAGGAAUCGUACCCCAAACCGACACAGGUGGUCGGGUAGAGAAUACCAAGGCGCUUGAGAGAACUCGGGUGAAGGAACUAGGCAAAAUGGUACCGUAACUUCGGGAGAAGGUACGCUCUUAUCAGUGAAGUCCCUUGCGGAUGGAGCAGACGAGAGUCGCAGAUACCAGGUGGCUGCAACUGUUUAUUAAAAACACAGCACUGUGCAAAAUCGUAAGAUGACGUAUACGGUGUGACACCUGCCCGGUGCCGGAAGGUUAAUUGAUUGGGUUAGACCUUGUGUCGAAGCUCAUGAUCGAAGCCCCGGUAAACGGCGGCCGUAACUAUAACGGUCCUAAGGUAGCGAAAUUCCUUGUCGGGUAAGUUCCGACCUGCACGAAUGGCGUAAUGAUGGCCACGCUGUCUCCACCCGAGACUCAGUGAAAUUGAAAUCGCUGUGAAGAUGCAGUGUACCCGCGGCUAGACGGAAAGACCCCGUGAACCUUUACUACAGCUUGGCACUGAACAUUGAACCUACAUGUGUAGGAUAGGUGGGAGACUAUGAAAUUGCGUCGCUAGAUGUGAUGGAGUCGUCCUUGAAAUACCACCCUUGUAGUUUUGAUGUUCUAACGUUGGCCCCUGAAUCGGGGUUACGGACAGUGCCUGGUGGGUAGUUUGACUGGGGCGGUCUCCUCCCAAAGAGUAACGGAGGAGCACGAAGGUGGGCUAAACACGGUUGGACAUCGUGUGGUUAGUGCAAUGGCAUAAGCCCGCUUGACUGCGAGAAUGACAAUUCGAGCAGGUGCGAAAGCAGGUCAUAGUGAUCCGGUGGUUCUGAAUGGAAGGGCCAUCGCUCAACGGAUAAAAGGUACUCCGGGGAUAACAGGCUGAUACCGCCCAAGAGUUCAUAUCGACGGCGGUGUUUGGCACCUCGAUGUCG